rnacentral:lncRNA from 1 species
CACACACAUGCACGUGCACGUGCACACACAUCACAGGUUACCUCCUUCAACAUUGUGUACAGGCACACACACAUCCAUGCACUCACACACACGCACAUACACGUGCACGUGCACAUACACACAUCACAGGUUACGUCCUUCAACAUUGUGUACAGGCACAUACACACAUCCAUGCACUCACACACACAUGCACAUGCACGCGCACACACAUCACAGGUUAUCUCCUUCAACAUUGUGUACAGGCACACACACACAUCCAUGCACACACACACAUCCAUGCACUCACACGCACGCACGUGCGCGCGCGCACACACACAUCACAGGUUACCUCCUUCAACAUUGUGUACAGGCACACACACAUCCAUGCACUCACACACACAUGCACGCACGUGUGCACACACACACACCACAGGUUACCUCCUUCAACAUUGUGUACAGGUGCACACACACAUCCAUGCACUCACACACACACAUGCACAUACACGUGCACGCGCGUGCGCGCACACACACACACACAUCACAGGUUACCUCCUUCAACAUUGUGUAGAGCACAGGCCAGCAAGCUUUUCCUGCAAAGAGCCGGAGAGUGAACAUUUUAGGCUUUGUGGGCCAGACAAUCUCUGUUGCAAGGAUUCAGCUCUGCCAUAGACAAUACAUAAAUGCACAGAUGUGGCCACGCUCCAGUAAAAGCGUAUUCACAAAGUCAGACGGCGGGGCCAGGCGUGGGGGCUCACGCCUGUAAUUCCAGCACUCUGGAGGCCAAGGUGGGAGGAUCUCUUGAGCCCAGUAGUUCAAGACCAGCCUGGGCACACAUAACAAGACCUCAUCUCUACAAAAACAAAAUAUAAACUAGCCAAGCAUGGUGUGGUGACACGUGCUUGUAGUCCCAGCUACUUGGGAGCCUGAAGUGGGAAGAUCCCUUGAACCCAAGAGUUCAAGACAAGCCUGGGGCAACAUAGCAAGACCCCAUCUCUACAAAAGUAAAACAAAUUAGCCAGGCAUGGUGCGGUGGUGGGCGCCUGUAUUCCCAGCUACUUGAGAGGCUGAGGUGGGAGAAUCACUUGAGCCCAGAGGUGAAGGCUGCUGUAAGCCGUGACAGCACCACUGCACCCCAGCCUGAGUGACAGAAG